rnacentral:rRNA from 1 species
GACGGGGGGUCCUGGCGUUGUUCGGAAUCAUUGGGCGUAAAGCGUGUGCAGGUGGUUUUACAAGUUAGAUGUGAAAUCCUCGGGCUUAACCUGAGAAGGGCAUUUAAAACUGUAGAACUUGAGUAAGGAAGAGGAUCGUGGAAUUCCAGGUGUAGUGGUGAAAUACGUAGAUAUCUGGAGGAACACCGGCGGCGAAGGCGGCGAUCUGGUCCUAUACUGACACUCAUACACGAAAGCGUGGGUAGCAAACAGG